rnacentral:rRNA from 1 species
AUUGAACGCUGGCGGCAGGCCUAACACAUGCAAGUCGAACGAGUGGCGGACGGGUGAGUAAUGUCUGGGAAACUGCCUGAUGGAGGGGGAUAACUACUGGAAACGGUAGCUAAUACCGCAUACCAUCGAUUGUGCCCAGAUGGGAGUAGCUAGUUGGUGGGGUAACGGCUCACCAAGGCGACGAUCCCUAGCUGGGCUGAGAGGAUGACCAGCCACACGGGAACUGAGACACGGUCCAGAAUCCUACGGGAGGCAGCAGUGGGGAAUAGUGCACAAGGGGCGCAAGCCUGAUGCAGCCAUGCCGCGUGUAUGAAGAAGGCCUUCGGGUUGUAAAGUACUUUCAGCGGGGAGGCGUUACCCGCAGAAGAAGCACCGGCUAACUCCGUGCCAGCAGCCGCGGUAAUUC